CCCCUAGAUGUUCUGGGCCGCACGCGCGCUACACUGAACAGUUCAACAAGUCUUAACCUUGGCCGAUAGGUCUGGGUAAUCUUUGAAUGCUGUUCGUGAUUGGGAUAGACCUUUGCAAUUAUGGGUCUUCAACGAGGAAUUCCUAGUAAACGCAAGUCAUCAGCUUGCAUUGAUUACGUCCCUGCCCUUUGUACACACCGCCCGUCGCACCUACCGAUUGAAUGGUCCGGUGAAAUCUCGGGACGGCGGCUUGGUCGCUUGCGUCCGACUGCUGAAACUUGAUUAAACCAUAUCAUUUAGAGGAAGGUGAANUCGUAACA
rnacentral:rRNA from 1 species